rnacentral:lncRNA from 1 species
CACUCUUGGAGAAACGAGAAUGGGAACUGGAGACAUUACCGCCUGGACUGCCCUAAUGCUAAGUGCAACGGCUUUGGCCACUCGCCCUGGAAGGCGGAAUAUGGAGGGCGGCCGACUAAGUGCAGAAAAGUAUCUGGAGCUAAAAGGGCUUGGAGCCCGGCGACAAGGGUUUGAGAGGGGCACUUAUGCUCCCAUUCAGUGAAAUCAGUGGAUCAAUAUCAGCUCCAUGUGGUCUGGAACUGCAGGAGGAAGAAAGCAACUACUGCUUAAAGAAAAACCCAGAAAAAAAUGGAA